rnacentral:rRNA from 1 species
UACGGAGGGUGCAAGCGUUGUUCGGAAUUAUUGGGCGUAAAGCGCGUGUAGGCGGCUAUUUAAGUCUGAUGUGAAAGCCCGGGGCUCAACCUCGGAAGUGCAUUGGAAACUGGAUAGCUUGAGUACGGGAGAGGCUGGAGGUACUCCCAGGGUAGGGGUGAAAUCCUAUAAUCCUGGGAGGACCACCUGUGGCGAAGGCGGCUACCUGGACCGAUACUGACGCUGAGACGCGAAAGCGUGGGGAG